rnacentral:lncRNA from 1 species
CCUAAGCAGAACCAAAACACAUCAUCAAAAUCUCUAAGAUCGGAUUGCCAUCUAGCCUUGUGUUUUUCUCAAGCUAUAGGCUCACAGGCCUAGUAAGUAGACCAUAGGAAAACCCUGCAUAUCUGCCAUGAAUGGAGCGUCGACACGAUAUGUAUGAUUGAAAAAGGAGCAUGCAGACGAAAGCGAGAACCAGGAUGAUGGAU